rnacentral:rRNA from 1 species
AGAGUUUGGAACAUGGCUCAGAUUGAACGCUGGCGGCAGGCCUAACACAUGCAAGUCGAACGGUAACAGGAAGAAGCUUGCUGCUUCGCUGACGAGUGGCGGACGGGUGAGUAAUGUCUGGGAAACUGCCUGAUGGAGGGGGAUAACUACUGGAAACGGUAGCUAAUACCGCAUAACGUCGCAAGACCAAAGAGGGGGACCUUCGGGCCUCUUGCCAUCGGAUGUGCCCAGAUGGGAUUAGCUAGUAGGUGGGGUAACGGCUCACCUAGGCGACGAUCCCUAGCUGGUCUGAGAGGAUGACCAGCCACACUGGAACUGAGACACGGUCCAGACUCCUACGGGAGGCAGCAGUGGGGAAUAUUGCACAAUGGGCGCAAGCCUGAUGCAGCCAUGCCGCGUGUAUGAAGAAGGCCUUCGGGUUGUAAAGUACUUUCAGCGGGGAGGAAGGGAGUAAAGUUAAUACCUUGCUCAUGACG